rnacentral:tRNA from 1 species
GGUGGCUCAGUGGUAGAGCGCUUGCCUUGCAUGCGAGAGGUCCUGGGUUCAAUUCCUCUGUACCA